GUCCAACCCGGCUGUCUUUUUAAUCGGCUCGAUUUCUCGUGCUCUGGGCUGGCUACUUUUUUUUCGAACUCGAUGAUGUCUGUCUUCGAAACUGUAAUGCGAGGUACCACUGGUCACUUCGCCUGCUUCCUGAAUAAAUACGGAGUAGAAGCUUACACUAUACUUGAUGAACAGAGAGAACAAACCUACCAAACGGUAUUCUCUUAUACAGAGGACUAGUUACAUGCUCAUGAGUUGCUACAAACUAACGAACGAACCAUUGAUAUUUCUGUGAACGUACCUGUGGAUCAUGAAAAGACGACCUCAUAUGUCACUGAUUUACCGGCAAGUACUCCAUCUGUCCUGAGAUGUCAAUUUUUUUUUUAACGGAGAAAGUAGUAAUUUUUUUUAAAGGGUCAAAUGAACUAUUCACUCCGUCCAUGAUGUACAAGAGACGUUUUAAUUUUCUCACGGGUACAAAAAGCUGUCAGCAGACAUGCAGCCAUAUAAAUAUUUUUUCUACCCCUGGCUGCACAUCCAUCUUGCAGAUAGCACUACAUGCAACCUUUGGGCCAACCAUAGGUGCUGCCGGAUAGGAUAGAAAAAUAUUUGAUAUAGGCAUAUAGCCAUGCAUGGGGGGUUGAUGGGAAAGAGCAUGGCAAAAAAUGCACGUGCCUGAUAUAUGAGGACACCAGACUUUGAAUAGUACGCCCAAAAAACUGGACGGAGAGAGUACUCCACUCUUUCCAUUCCAAAAUGUAAGGCCCAAUGUUGGCAA
rnacentral:lncRNA from 1 species